CUAAGAAUCUUGCGCAAUGGGCGAAAGCCUGACGCAGCAAUUCCGCGUGGGGGACGAAGGCCCUCGGGUCGUAAACCCCUUUUGUGAGGGAAGAAGUUCUGACGGUACCUCACGAAUAAGACACGGCUAACUACGUGCCAGCAGCCGCGGUAAUACGUAGGUGUCGAGCGUUGUCCGGAUUUAUUGGGCGUAAAGAGCCCGCAGGCGGCUUGGUAAGUUCGAGGUGAAAUCUCCCGGCUCAACUGGGAGGGUGCCUCGAAAACUAUCAGGCUUGAGGCAGGGAGAGGGAUGUGGAAUUCCCGGUGUAGUGGUGAAAUGCGUAGAUAUCGGGAGGAACACCAGUGGCGAAGGCGGCAUCCUGGCCCUGUCCUGACGCUCAGGGCCGAAAGCGUGGGGAGCAAACC
rnacentral:rRNA from 1 species